GACGAAGGAUGCAAGCGUUAUCCGGAUUCAUUGGGUUUAAAGGGUGCGUAGGCGGACUGAUAAGUCAGUGGUGAAAUCUCUCAGCUUAACUGAGAAACUGCCAUUGAUACUGUCAGUCUAGAGUACAGAUGAUGUGGGCGGAAUAUGACAUGUAGUGGUGAAAUACUUAGAUAUGUCAUAGAACACCGAUUGCGAAGGCAGCUCACAAAACUGUAACUGACGCUGAGGCACGAAAGUGCGGGGAUCAAACAGG
rnacentral:rRNA from 1 species